rnacentral:misc_RNA from 1 species
AAGGAUAAAAAGGCAAAUGGACCAAGUUCUGAAAAAGGAGCCGGUCUUGUUUUUAAGAUAACAAGUAGGGUUCCAUAUAAGACUGUCUUGAAAGCGCACAGUGCUGUUGUGUUAAAAGCUGAGAGUGUUGCUGACAAGGUUGAAUGGAUAAACAAGCUGAGAAAUGUCAUUCAGACUAAAGGAGGUCAAGUUAUAGGCGAACCUGGUCCUACCAUGCGUCAAAGUCAUUCUGAUGGUUCACUUGAUACAAUGACUAGAAGACCUGCAGACCCUGAAGAAGAGCUCCGGUGGAUGUCUCAAGAAGUGCGUGGUUAUGUUGAAGCUGUUCUUAACAGCCUUGCUGCCAAUGUGCCCAAAGCAGUUGUCCUUUGUCAAGUCGAGAAAGCGAGGGAAGACAUGCUUAAUCAGCUUUAUAGUUCCAUUAGUGCACAAAGCACCGCAAGGAUUGAAGAACUGCUCCAGGAGGACCAGAAUGUAAAACGUAAGAGAGAACGUUAUCAGAAGCAGUCCUCUCUUCUUUCAAAACUUGUACGGCAACUUAGCAUCCAUGAUAAUCGAGCAGCAGCUGCGUCCAGCUGGGCCAAUGAUGGUGGUGGAGCAGAAAGUAGUCCAAGAACAAGCGGAUCUGCCGGAGGGGAGGAUUGGAGGACUGCAUUUGACGCUGCAGCUAAUGGUCGUGCUGAACCAUUUAGGUCUCACAGUCGACGAAACAGUGAUCCACCUCAAAAUGGUGAUGCAAGCUCAGGCACAAACAACAGUCGCCGCACACCCACUCGGAUGCCACCAGCACCACCACCAUCAGGCUCAUCCUAUAGAUAUUAGAUAAAAAGUUUGAUACCCAAUUUGAUUAUUCAUGCAUUCUUGUGGAUGGGAGCUAGCUCUCCUCCCACUCCAGGUGGAGAGCGUUUCUCAAGCUCACAUCCAUGUUAUAGUAGCUUUUGUAGAAGUGUAAUAGGUAUGUAGAUAUAUAUUGCAGUUACAUGUGGUUCAUUUUAAU